rnacentral:rRNA from 1 species
UACGUAGGGUGCAAGCGUUGUCCGGAAUUAUUGGGCGUAAAGAGCUCGUAGGCGGCUUGUCGCGUCUGCUGUGAAAAUCCGGGGCUCAACCCCGGACUUGCAGUGGGUACGGGCAGGCUAGAGUGUGGUAGGGGAGACUGGAAUUCCUGGUGUAGCGGUGGAAUGCGCAGAUAUCAGGAGGAACACCGAUGGCGAAGGCAGGUCUCUGGGCCACUACUGACGCUGAGAAGCGAAAGCAUGGGGAGCGAACAGG